AGUCCCGUAGUCUAGCGGUCAAGGAUAGCGGACUCUGGAUCCGUUGACCCAGGUUCGAAUCCUGGCGGGACUA
rnacentral:tRNA from 1 species